UGUGGGCAACGACAUCGUGUCUCAUGCAUCGGCCUCUCUUUGCACCGCAGCAGACGAGGCCAGCGUGUUUGGGCAAGGGCCAGUUGAUCGUGCUGUGAUUGAGAUGGUGGAAGUGGCUGAAAAUGCUGUCGUGCUUCCUCAGAUACAUAACGCGGUUGAGGAGACAGGGGAGUUUGAUCCAUUGGACUACAAUGCUCCUGCUGGUGCUAAUGAGCUCGCGGAUGGUGAUAAUGAAUCGGGUACAGGCAAUGUUGAUCGAGCUGCUGCUGAUGAUGACGUCGACAGCCCA